CCGCUUACGGCUGGGCAGCGGCGAACAGAGGGCAGCUGCAAAGCAGAAUGAAAAAUGGAGGGACAAGAUCAGAACCACAACCGAAGGCGUGUCGAGGGGGGGCACGGCGCAACCCAUAGCUAGCCAUUUCUACAUGCCAUGCCAACCCCAUAGCAGCACACAGUACUGCUUUUUAGACAUUAGGACAAGCAAACCUCAAGCAGUCACAUCCCAACUCACCAGUUCUUCGUGUCGUCAAACACGUUGCCCCAGCACACGCCAUCGUUGGCAGGCAGGCAGAAGUCCGACAGGGGGGUGUCGUUCUUCAGCUCCAGGCAGAUCUUGCCGCCAUUCGCCUGGUCCUUGCUCCAGUUCAGGGGGGUAGCCUUAACGGUCUGCUCGUCCACAGCGCCCCAGGUGGCGGACAGCCACUUGCCGGUGCCGGUCUUGGGCUGCACGUACACGCCGGUGAUGGCGCGGCGCUUCUUGUCGUCGGCGUAGAACUCGGCCUUGAGCAGGCUGGUGCUCCGGCCGCAGGGGCUGGUGGCGCUGUUGGGGGUCACCAGGGUGAUGCUGAAGCAGUAAGCAGUGGUGUCCUUGGUGCGGCCGGCCAUGCUCGACAUCGCGGGCGCAAUGGCGAAGGGGGUGGCGCCGGGAGUGGUGACGCACUGGCACUUGGGGAAGUCGGGGGUCUGCAGGGCGCAGGCGGCCGAGGCCUGGGCGUUGAUGCACGACUGGGGCAGGCCGGCGACGGCGUCGCCCAUGCCGCCAACAGAGACGACCACGGUGUAUCCGGCCAGGGCGGGGCGGCAGCCCUGAGUCACCAUGUCCAGCCAGAAGUUGAUCUGGGUGUCAACGAAGCUCUGCAGCUUGGCGCCCUCCUCGUUGGAGAAGAAGGUGGCGCACACCAUCACCAGGUUGCCGGCGCAGCUGGUGGACCCAGGGGUCACGGUCACGCCGAGGUCGGAGGCCUGGGUGGCCACGUCGUCCUGAAUGGUGGCGAUGUAGCCCUGGCACUCGUCGUUGCUGAUGGAGUAGGGGAACAGAACGCGGCUGGCGUCGCUAACGGUCAGCGAGAUGUAGACGCAAACCUGGCAAGGAGGAGGGGGGCUGGGGGGAGGAGGGCUCGGGAUGCCGGGCGUGGAGAUAGGGCAGCAGUCGUUCUGGCUGUCGAACAGCGCAGCCGAGCACACACCCUUGGGCAGGCCAGGGGGAGGAAUGCACAGCUCCUCAAGGGUGGUGCAGCCCUUGCCGUUCUUGUUCAUCGACAGGGUGAUGCAAAUCUCAGCACCGUCGCUGGCCAGGCCCAGGCCCAGCUGGGUCAGGACCAGGGUGGUCGAGCCAACGGGGCCAUCGGUGGGCUCGUGGAACGAGACACCGACCUUGGUGGGCACGCCGUUGAUGGUGGCCUUCACCACCUCGCCGAAGACGUCGCACGCCUCGUAGACGUUGAACUGUGUACAUCAAAAUGAGGAACAAACUCAGAGAACUUCUUGAAAAAAGAACUCACACUGUGGGUUGCUGGCUGCUGCGACUUUGAAACCGCGACCCGAUGCGCCGACAACCCACCUCGAUCUUCUUGAGGUCUGCCUUGGAGCAGCAGUAAUCGGUGCAGCCAGCCGGCACCUUGGCGCUCAGCUUGAAGCAGUACUGGUUGUUGCCCUUGGCAACGACAACAUCACCCAGCUUGUAGGCCGAGGGAGACUUCUUGCACUGGCAGUAAGGGAACGAGGUGUACAAGCCCGACUGAGCACCCUGGGCGGCCCUGCAGAUUCAGAACGAAGGGCACACGCGGCACGGAGUUACUGCCAGCGGAGCAAGCGGAGUCUCGGCGACGGGAUAGCCUGCUUGCAACUUGCUGUCAAAUCCGGUGGUGGCGCUACGAUCACUGUUACGCUAUGCUGAAAUCAUGAAAAUAGCCCGAGCAUGCUGUAAGAGCGCCGGUUGCAAGAAGGCCGACCGCAUUCAAGCUGCGCAGCGGACCCACACGACCACUAUUUACGCCGUGAGCGUAAAUGAUUAUCUUUGACUAGAGUCAGCGAUGCUCGUCUAUUCUACAACUCAGGAGCUUCCCGAAGCGACAAAUCUGUGAAACGCGCGGUCUUGCUACUCACGCAAUUGCGGCCGCGAAAAGAACGGAGACUAGAAUGCUGCACCUCAUUGUCACAGAGGUGGUUCAGCUAUAAAGAAAUUGUGAGGCACGCGGGCUUAUCAUGGGGGGCCCGGCUGGUCGAACGAGUCGUACGCCCGCCAUUAACCGCGGGCGCGUUAGUUUGGCGUGCGAUGCAAUCAUUCAUGCAACCGCGCCACUUCGACAGUGCCGGAAACAACUUUUAUUUUUGUGGGUAUGCAUCCGGCUAUUCGGUAGGACAGCAGCUGCGUUACGCUCAAACUCGGGCAAACAAUUGGGCUAGCGGCGUGAGCUUGCACCUCACAACUAUCAUCACACAAGUUAUUUAGAUACUGGCCUACCUUGGGCCAUCUCCAAAACUGCCUGUCCAGCCCGGGAGCGGCGGAGCUGUUUCGCCCGCGGUUUGGAGUGGCUUUACUCGUGCCGACGCAAGUCCUUGAUUUUUGCAUUAUAAAAAAAUUAUAGAGUACAGCUAUAGCAACCAACUUGGCAAUGGAGCUGCUGGCAUGGUCCAAACGCGGGAAGCUGGCGCCUUCUAGGCUCUUUGGAGCCCUGUCGGCUUCACAAGUGGCUGAUGCUCAAGUUGUGCAUCGCUUUGGCCGGACAAAUGUCUCCUAGUAACCCGGUUCACAAGCGAAGCGUGAAACGAAAGCAAAGGAUGCUGCGCGCCGGAAGCGAAACGUUCGAUGCACCUAAUUGGGCGCCAAGCGCGGAACCUUGCAGUCUCAGAUGCGUGUGUGCAUGGAAGGAGAAGGCUGGCGGAGGCGAGAGGAGCGGGGGCAGGGAUUGGCUUUCGUGGGGGGGGCGGGGCAAGUGGCGCGGGCGGGGCUGGGGGGGCGAAGAACGGUGAAGACCGGUGCGAUGGCACAGGGUAAGGGGCAGGUUGGCGUAGUCCCGAGUCCCGAGAAACAACUUACGCCCAACCCAGGCGCCAAUGAAACAGGUGAAGAGCUUGAGGACCCCCCUCCCGCUGUCCGGGCCUUACACACAAGCAGGCCAAGUGCGGGGGGAGCCGUAGCGCACACCAUAUACCGUACUGUCACUGUGCUCGAUUUCGUCGCUAGUGACGCCCCUGCUGGCUAGGGUAGCAAGGGUAAUGGGGGUGAACGAGCCGGUUGCUUAGGCUGUGCCAGCUUUCCCCGGGUUUCAUUGGGGUCACACACUUCACUGAUGCACAACUUUCAGAGCCAGGGGGCUGCAUCCUCCGGCAAGCAGACGCCAGGAGGGUGUCCCUGGCCGCAUGCGCUGGGUCCUGGAGUCUACGGUACGCGUUGCCGCACGCGUCGGUUGGCCAUCCAUUCCCCAUCCUUAGACACAAUGACUGUGUCAUGUGUGCACGUUGCGCUUUAGGCUCGGCCAGCGGCACCCUGGGUUGGGUGUGUGAUGGGUUGGGUCUCGGUUUGAGAGGUGUGACCCUUGCAGAAAGCAGGACUCUCCACACUCCCCUCCCGUGCUGUGCAUGUAUGUUCCUGCAUGCACGUGUGUGUAUGAAGUGAAUGGCUCAGCCAACGGCUGUGUGUGCAUGUGGCCCGCGUAAAAUGCAAUUUACCAGUGAUGGGCACUUCUAUCAGGGAGGGGUAGGAAACAAAGUGCCAGACCCCAUGCCCCGAAAUCCCCCGGGACCCCCCUUGAGGGGACGACCGACCCCCCGACGGACAAAACCUUGUUGUUCAGCGGUUAAAACCCCUCCAUUUAAUACCAAAGUAGUGUCAAUCGACUCCUCUUGACGAGCACUAUCACUCCGUGCCAUCAGCGGUCCUGUUCUGAGACUUCGGUCACGGGCGGGAUCCUAUCCAUGGAAAUCCCCUCGACCCAGACCACCCCGCGCUCAACUCUUUGCCGCGUGACGAAUGGACAAUGUGCAUCGGCAGCCUUGUUAGACGUGAACUCAUGCGCAUCAGCGCUUCAGAGCCCAGCUGUGUCAGUGCGCAUAUGUUGAAUGUGGAGACAUGUCCCGACAUGUCCACGUCCGGACGCGCAACUUAGCCCUCCCACGCUUUGUUUGUGCUUAUUACGUCAUAACGUACACAUAUGAGCCUCGCACUGCUGCGUUUGGCCCCUAGUUCUGCUUGUGGGGCGCUUCCCGAAAUCCGCCAGGAUGGGCUCCCGAAACCCGACGGACCCCCAGGGACGAGGACCGACCCCCAACUUUGGCGGCCCAGAACUUCCUCACCAGACCCCCCUUUAAAAAACUAAAAGUACGUGCAUAAUGCUCUCCUGAAGCUCUCUAAUAUUGAGCAUGGGGUAAGAACCUGAGCUUUCUAACCCCCCCCUGCCAUGGCGGCCACAAUGCCAAGAUGCUACCUGGCGGCGCCACGCACAGCAGAGCCCUGUGCUCCGCAAGGAUGCACACGUGCACACACGCACACACAUGUGCGAACACACGUGCACCUGCCCUCCAUGCCACUCGCCCCGCCCCUUCCCCCUUCCCUCACCUCAGUUAUGGCUGACUGGAUGCGGUUGAUCUCAAACAGCCGGCUGCGCCCCUCCUGGGAGCCGCCGCCGCCGCCGCCAGACAGGAGGUCUGGAGUGCGUGUGAGGAAGGGGAGGGGGGGGAUGUGCCCGAGCCCGAGGUCUCAAGCGUCAAGGAAUUGUUUCCAAACCAGGGGGAGGAAGCGGUAGGGGGGCGCGAAGUGUGAUGUUUGUCGGGGUAAGGUGUGAGGCAUUGGGCAUGGAGCGUAAGGCGGGCAUCAAGGCGGGUAGGGUGUCGGCCUGUGCGCUGUCACCCAAGCCACGGGCGCACCGUUAGCACGCACGCACGCGCACACGCUCACACUACGCACCUGCGGCCGCCUCCUGCCCCUUGCUGGUGGCGCCGCUCCCGCCGCCGCCCCCACCUGCACCCCCAGCAGCCGCCCCGCCCGGCACCGGAGCGCUCACCACCACCUGCGCCUCCGCCGCACCCUCCACCGCUGACUCUGCUCCUGCUCCCCCUCCUGCUGCGGAUGCUUCCGCUGGUAGCUGCACCACUGGCGUGUGCCGUGGAUGCGGUGGGUGCGGCGCCGCCAAGCCAGUCACCGCCGCCACCACCGGCGCCAGCGCCGCCGCCACGGCAGCCGCCGGCUCCCCUCCCGAAAUCCGCCAGACACCCCCUUAAAAAGUUAAAAGUACGUGCAUAAUGCUCUCCUAAAGCUCUGUAAUUUUGAGCAUGGGGUAAGAAACUGAGCUUUCUACCCCCCCCCUGCUUCUAUCAACCGGUUGUGCUUUCGGGGUUACAUGGAAGAGAUUAGGCUGGUGGGGCACAGUGGUGCACGGUGACAGAGACAGCCUUUCUUCCCUGUCUGGGUCAGGGGACAGGUUGUGCCGCCCUCGAGUCCGAAUCAAAUCGUUCUUUGCAGCAUCCCUCUUCAGGAUGCUGAGUGGAGUUGGUGUCGGUAGUAAAGGCCAAGCCCAACGCCCAUUGCGGCAGGGCCCAGGUGUGGGCGGAACGCCCGCCAAGAUGAGACACGAUGAGAGGCACGGCCGAUCGCGCCGAGUUAAGCCAUCACCACGCCCAGUGUUCCGGCCGGUUGUAACAGAUCAACUGUUACGAUCCCUGUUCGAGACAGGGCUGGGCCCUAACUUAUGCCUCUUACGAGUCUUCUAGUGAAUACGCGGUCACCCAAGUCUCAUCCGUUGGACAUCUCCAACCCCUUGCCAGGCUCUACAGUGAGUUAUGUCCGGGGUGGGCUAGGUACUGCUACCCCAGGGGAGAGCCUUCCCUGGCAGAGCCCAGGCCCUGCCGUAUUCCUUACCGGGUCGCACACCCACCGAAGUACCGAACCACGCGUCACGGUCUGGGAAUCAGCUGCACCCUACGGGACUUCACCAACCUGCCUUAACACUGUCCCAUACCACGCGUUACGUUUCUCCACGAUCCGCGGAACGGCGGAAACACGUAUUGACAUGUGUACACCCGCAAGGAGACCGCGGGUGGGUGAGAAUACUGCGCCUGCGCCUGAGAGCCCCGGGGCAAGCUGUCUCAUCCCCGAACGUAGAACUCAUAGAGUGCAGUCUGUGCAAAAGGGAAAGCGAGAUGCAAAGGACGAAGCAGGAGUCGUGUGACGCGUUAGCGUGGAUAAACGCCUGGCGGAUGAGAUCGGACAUGGCAACUUGGAAAUGGGCAGGUUGGUGUUAGUCCUGUGGACCUGAUAUACCCGAGCCGGUUGAGGGCCUCAUGUGCAAAACCGCCAGCGCCGGUCUGCUGGCCUUAUCUGGGUACACGCAGUACCGGUGCGGUAGCUGACGAUGCCAGCGUUAUUGACGAGUGUUGCGGAACUAAUGCGUACGUAGACCAGAGCGGAAGGCGGAGUGGGCUUGCAGGCGGCACGAGAGUAGGCAGUCAGUAGCGCAAGUUGCGAAUUCACAUGUUACCUCGUAACCGACGGUAAACGCUGCGGACGGUCGCGCCCAUGGCUGGCUGACGGAAGGUGGCUGCUGUAUUGGGAUGGCUGGGCUGGACGACGCCGGCCGGGCUGGCGUGCACGAUGUGCACAAACCGUUCCGCCUGCAGAUUGCAGAAAGCCCUGACGCCAGCUGCGCAUCCUGACGGAUGACACGUUGGGGGCUGUCACUCAGCUGCUGACUCGGGACCACCGUGCUGUCCCCUGCCGCAGUUACCGCCGCAGCCUGGCUGGCAUUCAACUUAUGUUGAAAAUUAUAUCAAUAUGACGCGUUCGUACUGUGCCCCCAAACCGGUUUACAGGGGCAACAGGCAAUAGCCCUGCGCACAAACUCCUGCUUCUCACCAGAGCUUUCGCCGUUAUGCACGGCCACGGGAACAAUGGUCCCGGCCAACCACAUCUAUGAACCGUGUCCGUUAGCCUCUCCUGAGGCUUGUAACCGGAACGCGGCUCCGCUGAUUGCAGUCCCAGGAUGACGCUAACCUAAGCAAACAGUCAAUGCGCAUGAUCAUUUACACACACGAGUGCUCUUAUGUACUGCCCAUAUUAAACACAGUCGAGUUGUGGAUCAGUUGCACGAUUCACCGCGCCAGCCCUCGCGGCGGUGCUUCACGCAAUCCGCAUUCAGCUGGUGGCGAGUCGCCAAGCCGCCCCCAACAAAACCCGCACCGCACCAAGUGCCAUGCCGUUUAGACACACGCGCACAACACUAAUCCUGCGAGGCAGUGAUCUCAUCUGUCACUUUGUCAACUACCCAAUCAAGCCAUUUUUCCGAACCCAAUUCAAAACACGCGCCCACGGGCGAAGCUGUGCGCCGUGGCUGUAGCGGCUGCUGCCUCUGCUGCCAACGCCUCACAAAAUCCACCCGUGGCCGUCUGCCACAUAAGCUCCAGCGGUCACCAGCUAUGCUCCGUGCCAGCUCGCGAUAUUGCCAGGCCGUGUGGCCGCAGCAGCUGUUUGCACAGCUGCCGCGAAGCAAGUCCGCUGCCACAAGAACUCAAACAGGGUGGGUCAGCCGCGCGGCUUCCAAGCGGCUUCCACCUUGUGUGUAUGGACACGCGACGCCUCGGCUGCUGCGGGCUGUGCCAUUUACGGCAGGCUCGCCUGGUACAGCGGGCAGCUGCGGGCAAGACACGGGAGGGGUGAGGAAUGGCGGUCAGAUACGUGACAACGUCGAGGCAGAUGUCCGCGGGGAAGUCCGUGGGCGAAGCCUAUUGAUUUAGAUCCCGCAAGACAACCCACAUUGGCAAGUACGUUGUUGCGAGCGUGUCAAUGCAAACCCAACUCACCAGUUCUUGCUGUCGUCGAACAAGUUGCCGUAGCACGAGCCGCCGGGCGCGGGCAGGCAGAAGUCCGACAGGGGGGUGUCGUUCUUCAGCUCCAGGCAGAUAGUACCGCCAUUCGCCUGGUCCUUGCUCCAGUUCAGGGGGGUAGCCUUGACGGUCUGCUCGUCCACAGCGCCCCAGGUGGCGGACAGCCACUUGCCGGUGCCGGUCUUGGGCUGCACGUACACGCCGGUGAUGGCGCGGCGCUUCUUGUCGUCGGCGUAGAACUCGGCCUUGAGCAGGCUGGUGCUCCGGCCGCAGGGGCUGGUGGCGCUGUUGGGGGUCACAAGGGUGAUGCUGAAGCAGUAAGAGGUGGUGUCCUUGGUGCGGCCGGCCAUAGUGGAAAUGACGGGCGUGAAGGCGAAGGGGGUGGCGCCGGGCGUGGUGACGCAAGCGCACUUGGGGAAGUCCACAGGCUCGGGGGCGCAGGCCUGGGACUGGAAGCCGCUCAGGCAAGACGCAUCCGGGGCCUGUGCGGAGCCGCCGAUGCCGCCGACGGCGGCGUAAGCGCUGUAGCCAGUCAGGAAGGCGGGGCAGCCCUGGACGCCGGUGAUCAGCUGCAGCCAGAAGGGCAGGCGCUCAUCGAUGAAGGGCUGCAGCUCGGCGCCCUGCUCCGAUGAGAAGAAGGUGGCGC
rnacentral:lncRNA from 1 species